rnacentral:rRNA from 1 species
GUGCAGCAGUCGCGAAUCUUCCCAAUGGGCGCAAGCCUGAGGGAGCGACGCCGCGUGGGGAGUGAAGGUCUUCGGAUCGUAAACCCCUACGUUGCCCGGGACCGGAAGUUCUGACGGUACCGGGUGAGGAAGCUCCGGCUAACUACGUGCCAGCAGCCGCGGUAAUACGUAGGGAGCGAGCGUUGCUCGGAAUUACUGGGCGUAAA